CCUGACUGGACUCAGGACGCCCCCGGACCCCGGGAUGCCUCGCUGGAGGCUGCAGGAAGAUUCCCAGAGGGCCACAUAGGGCACAGAGGGCCACAGCGCGCCCCAGUGUCCACAGAUUCUGCCCAGACAGCGACCAGGACUCCACCGGGGGCCUGGGCCGUGCCCAGAGAGGCUUCAGGUCUCAGCAGCUGGGAUCAAAGAAGCAGCCACCCAUCCAUUCCUUAGAGAAGGCCCCUGACCGGACUCAGGACGCCCCAGGACCCCGAGAUGCUGCGCUAGAGGCUGCAGGAAGAUGCUUAGAGGGCACAGAGGGCCACAGUGCGCCCCAGUGUCCACAGACUCUGCCCAGACAGCGACCAUGACUCCACCUGGGGCCUGGGCCCUGGCCAGAGAGGCUUCAGGUAUCACCAUCCGUGAACAAACAAGCAGCUUCCCUACCACAUCCAUACAGUCGUCAGAGAAGGUAUCAGCAUCCGUGAACAAACAAGCAGCUUCCCUACCACAUCCAUACAGUCAUCAGAGAAGGUAAGGCAUCUUUCUUUUGUGACAGUCCAAGGACCGCUCUACUAUAUUUCCAUUGAACAAGGUGUCC